rnacentral:misc_RNA from 1 species
GAUGAAGAACGUAGCGAAAUGCGAUAAGUAAUGCGAAUUGCAGAAUUUCCGUGAGUCAUCGAAUCUUUGAACGCACAUUGCGCCCACUGGUAUUCCGGUGGGCAUGCCUGUUCGAGCGUCAUUAUCCUCCCUCAAACCCCGGGUUUGGUGUUGGACCCAAGUUGUGUGAACAACUGGUCUUAAAGACAAUGACGGCGUCCGUGGGACCCUCGGUGCAACGAGCUUUUAGGAGCACGCAUCGAGUUGCAAGGACCUUCCGGGCCGGUCUCCUUUACUAUUUUACAAGGUUGACCCCGGAUCAGGUAGGAAUACCCGCUGAACUUAAGCAUAUCAAUAAGCGGAGGA